UGUGUCGCUGACGCUAAUUUAUUUACGCAAGAUGUAGACAGAUGCCUCACCGUGUGAGACCACGGACGGUGUCAAUGCUGCUACGGUAGAGGACCCCUUGCCCUACUCCACUUGUGACACUGGGACACAAUGUAUUUUGAAGCCCCUUGGAAGGUCUCACGCUGUGCAAGUGAACCUGAAGCCCAAGAUGGUCAGCAUGGGGACACAAACUUUCACCCCCCUCACUAGUCCUGACCCAACGGAUGGAGAAGAUGAUCUCUCUGUCAUCAGUGAUGCAUCAUGGGUACCAGGAGACCAGAUGUCUGAGGAGGAUGAGGAGGUGUUGUGUGAGGAGCCAUCUCAAACUUGUGACCCCCACCAAAAUGGCAUUGACAAAUUCAUUGUUUGCCAAGAGGAGCUCAUGGCCCUGUUUGCCAUCUGUCCGGCCUGUUGUGAGAAGUCAGAUAGUAGAAUUGUGCAGCAGGAAGGAACAUUUGUUAAAAUAGAGCAGGUAGGGUUUUGUUUACACUGCAGGCCAUAUCUGAUUAGAAAAUCAGAAUAUCUUACUAAAAUCGAAUAGCCCUGACUGUCUGCCCACAUUGCUCAUUGCAAGUGAUCAGUGCAUCCUCCUAUCCACAUUAGUUGCUAUAA